rnacentral:rRNA from 1 species
UGGGGAAUCUUCCGCAAUGGACGAAAGUCUGACGGAGCAACGCCGCGUGUAUGAUGAAGGUCUUCGGAUUGUAAAGUACUGUCAUUGGGGAAGAACGGUUUUCUUGAAAAGAUUGAGAAGACAUGACGGUACCCAAGGAGGAAGCCCCGGCUAACUACGUGCCAGCAGCCGCGGUAAUACGUAGGGGGCAAGCGUUGUCCGGAAUUAUUGGGCGUAAAGGGCGCGUAGGCGGGCCUUUAAGUCCGGUGUGAAAGAUCAGGGCUCAACCCUGAGAGUGCAUCGGAAACUGGAGGCCUUGAGGACAGGAGAGGAAAGUGGAAUUCCACGUGUAGCGGUGAAAUGCGUAGAUAUGUGGAGGAACACCAGUGGCGGAAGGCGACUUUCUGGACUGUAACUGACGCUGAGGCGCGAAAGCGUGGGGAGCAAACAGGAUUAGAUACCCUGGUAGUCCACGCCGUAAACGAUGAGUGCUAGGUGUAGAGGGUAUCGACCCCUUCUGUGCCGCAGUUAACACAAUCAAGCACUCCGCCUGGGGAGUACGGCCGCAAGGUUGAAACUCAAAUGAA